GUGAAUCAUCGAAUUUUUGAACGCAAAUUGCACUCCCUGGUAUUCCGGGGAGUAUGCCUGUUUGAGGGUCGGUAGAACAAAAAUCGAGGCGUCGCUCUUUUUUGUUAAGGUUGAUCGCGUCGGAAUUGAGCCCGCUUUCAAGUGUUAAUGCAUUUCAAAGAGUCUUUAGAUUAGUCUGUCAGUUACGAUUAAAGCGUAUUUAAGAUCAACUUUGAUUAAGAACUCGCGAUGAACGUACAAUCUCACUUAGUGC
rnacentral:misc_RNA from 1 species